rnacentral:rRNA from 1 species
UACGUAGGGUGCAAGCGUUGUCCGGAAUCAUUGGGCGUAAAGCGCGCGUAGGUGGCUUCGUAAGUCCGUUGUGAAAGUCAAAGGCUCAACCUUUGAAUGCCGAUGGAUACUGCGAAGCUAGAGUACGGAAGAGGCGAGUGGAAUUCCUGGUGUAGCGGUGGAAUGCGCAGAUAUCAGGAGGAACACCAAUAGCGAAGGCAGCUCGCUGGGACGUUACUGACACUGAGGCACGAAGGCCAGGGGAGCAAACGGG